GUCAGCCCAUGAAGCAC
rnacentral:miRNA from 1 species